GCAUAAGUAGCUCAGUAGAUAGAGCACCGGUCUUGUAAGUCGGAUGCCGAAGGUUAAACCCCUUCCUUAUGCU